UCCCUCUCACUGUUAAUGGUUUAUUGCAGGCGAGGAGAACGUGGAAACGAGUGUUGUGCUGGGUUGCUGAACGUGCGAGCAACGACGUUGGUAGUGGGACGAUUGCUGCGGCGCUCUGCUUAGGGUUUCUGUUACCUUAGGCCAAUUGGGCCUUGUAAUUGGGUCAAGAUUGACCCAAGUUUUAAUGGGUUUGGUUGUAUUUAAUUUGGGCCCCGAGCAACAAUUGGGUAUUACAGGUAUUUAUAUAUAUUAUAUGUGAAAUUAUUAUAUUAUUAUAUUAUAUUAAUAAAAAUAUCUAUAUUAGUUAAAUGUUAAAAUAAUAAAAAGUAAAUAAUAAAAGGAAAUAAAAACAAAAGAAAAGAAAAAAGAGAGAAGGAAGAAACAGAGGCAUUCGAAACAGAGCAGGAAAAAGAAAGAAAGAAAAGAAAAAGGAAAAAUUCAAGGUUUAAGGUUUAAAGCUUUGAUUGGUAAGUCAAUUGAGCCUUUUUUAUUUAGUUUUGAUGAUUUAGAAGCUUUAAAACAAAGUUUUGAUGAAAUUAAGUUGAUAUUUUGUAAGUUCAUAGGUUUUUAAGCACGGUUCAUGUUGAAUAAAUUGUUAAAUUAGGGAUUUAAUUGAAUGAAUUUUAAGUUAGAAUUGAUAAAAGAAUUAAAUUGUAAAAGAAACUAUAAGUUUUAUGUUUUAGGGACUACAUUGAGGGAAAUUAGAAAUUAGGAAAAGAUGCUGAAAUUUUAAUAGUUACAUUUGAGUUUGGAUGAAAUUUGAAUAGAAAUAGAGUGUGAAUUGAAUUAGGAAAGUAAGUGAACUUAGUUAGGAUUAAAUUGAGAAUAAGGAAGAAAUUGAAUAGAAAUUCAAUUAUUUAUCAUAAUUAGUGCUGAAAUUAAUAGUAUAAAUUAUUAUUAUUAUUUUCGUAGCUAGCAAAGAACCAGAAGCACCGGCACAGAAGGGAAAAGAGAAGAUUUUCGAGAAGUAAACUCGAGAAAAUUGCAGUUUGUAUUACUAUAAUUCAAGUUAUUUAUUAUUAAAUGUUAAAUUUUAAUUUAUGUGUUUGGUAAAUGAAAUGUGAGGUAAGUAUUAGUAUUAUUAUUGUCAUUAUUAUUAUUAUUAUUAUUAUUAUUAUUAUUAUUAUUAUUAAGAUGAGUGAGAAUUAAAUUGAAUAGUUGAUAUGAAUUAAUAUUUGAAUUGUUUGUUGAUUGAAAGUGGGAAGUGAAUUUGAAUCGAAUUGUGAUUGAUAUUAAAUUGAAUGGAAAUGUAUUGAGUUGUGAAAAUGUGUGAAUUUGUGGAUUAAUUAUUGAUUGAAAGGUGGAAAAAUGAUUGAAUUGAAAAUGUGAGAAAUUGUGAUUGAAUUGGGGUUAUAUGUGAUUUAAAUGCCCUAUUAACUAGUUGGGCUGAGUCAGAUAUAGUUGGCAUACCAUAGGAUUGGAAGAGUUCACGGAUGCUUCGACCUCGAGUCGAUGAGACACUGGGUGUCACUAUAUUUCUUCGGAUAGAUUCGAUGAGGUACUGGGUAACAACUUUCUUCGGCUUUGCCGAUGAGACACUGGGUGUCAACUAUUGCUUCGAACUAUCCGAUGAGGCACUGGGUGCCAAUCUGGUGUGUUUGGUUGGAUCCGUGUAUCUGACAAAGUCCGAGUUUUGUUAAUAGGGGUAAAUAAUGAAAUGAUAAACCGAAUGAGUUUGGUUAAUCGAGCUACUGAAAUGAGAUGAAAAAGUUGAAUUGUGAAUUGAAAUGUGAUACGAGAUUGAAGAAUGAACCUAAGGUUCAUGAUGUGUUCAAAGCUCAAAUUGUGGAUACAUGAUAUUAAUUGAUAAUUUUUUAUUGUUGUAUUAUGAAAUUUGAGUUUAAACUUGUAUGUAUGAUUUGUGCAUGAUAUGUUUGAUGAUUAUGUUUUAUUUUUAUUAUUAUAAUUUGAAUUAUGGUAAUACCACUGAGUUCGGAUACUCAGCGUAUGGUUGUUUCCGUGUGCAGGUCGAUAGAAGUCGAAGGUUUUCUGAUUUUCGCUCCUUUUGCUUCCAAAUGCUCUUCAAAGUAUAGAAACAUGAAUUUAAAGUAUUAGGAGCAAAAAAUUCACCG
rnacentral:lncRNA from 1 species